rnacentral:rRNA from 1 species
UAGGGAAUCUUCCGCAAUGGGCGAAAGCCUGACGGAGCAACGCCGCGUGAGUGAUGAAGGUCUUCGGAUCGUAAAACUCUGUUAUUAGGGAAGAAAAAAUGUGUAAGUAACUAUGCACGUCUUGACGGUACCUAAUCAGAAAGCCACGGCUAACUACGUGCCAGCAGCCGCGGUAAUACGUAGGUGGCAAGCGUUAUCCGGAAUUAUUGGUCGUAAAGCGCGCGUAGGCGGUUUUUUAAGUCUGAUGUGAAAGCCCACGGCUCAACCGUGGGGGGUCAUUGGAAACUGGAAAACUUGAGUGCAGAAGAGGAAAGUGGAAUUCCAUGUGUAGCAGUGAAAUGCGCAGAGAUAUGGAGGAACACCAGUGGCGAAGGCGACUUUCUGGUCUGUAACUGACGCUGAUGUGCGAAAGCGUGGGGAUCAAACAGG